AAAUUGAAGAGUUUGAUCAUGGCUCAGAUUGAACGCUGGCGGCAGGCCUAACACAUGCAAGUCGAACGGUAACAGGAAACAGCUUGCUGUUUCGCUGACGAGUGGCGGACGGGUGAGUAAUGUCUGGGAAACUGCCUGAUGGGGGGGGAUAACUACUGGAAACGGUAGCUAAUACCGCAUAACGUCGCAAGACCAAAGAGGGGGACC
rnacentral:rRNA from 1 species